UACGUAGGGUGCAGGCGUUAAUCGGAAUUACUGGGCGUAAAGCGUGCGCAGGCGGUCUCUUAAGACAGGUGUGAAAUCCCCGGGCUCAACCUGGGAAUUGCGAUGGAGACUGCAAGGCUUGAAUCCGGGAGAGGGAUGCGGAAUUCCAGGUGUAGCGGUGAAAUGCGUAGAUAUCAAGAGGAACACCUGAGGUGAAGACGGGUUGCUGGGCCGACACUGACGCUGACAGCGCGAAAGCCAGGGGAGCAAACGGG
rnacentral:rRNA from 1 species